AGAGUUUGAUCCUGGCUCAGGAUGAACGCUGGCGGUAUGCUUAACACAUGCAAGUCGAACGGAACUCCUCGGAGUUCAGUGGCGGACGGGUGAGUAACGCGUGAGAAUCUGGCUUCAGGUUCGGGACAACCAUUGGAAACGAUGGCUAAUACCGGAUGCGCCGCAGGGUGAAAGAUUAAUUGCCUGAAGAUGAGCUCGCGUCUGAUUAGCUAGUUGGUGGGGUAAGAGCCUACCAAGGCGACGAUCAGUAACUGGUCUGAGAGGAUGACCAGUCACACUGGGACUGAGACACGGCCCAGGCUCCUACGGGAGGCAGCAGUGGGGAAUUUUCCGCAAUGGGCGAAAGCCUGACGGAGCAAUACCGCGUGAGGGAGGAAGGCUCUAGGGUUGUAAACCUCUUUUCUCAGGGAAGAAUAAAAUGACGGUACCUGAGGAAUAAGCAUCGGCUAACUCCGUGCCAGCAGCCGCGGUAAUACGGAGGAUGCAAGCGUUAUCCGGAUUUAUUGGGCGUAAAGCGUCCGCAGGUGGCAGUUCAAGUCUGCUGUCAAAGGUCGGGGCUCAACCCCGAACAGGCAGUGGAAACUGAACAGCUAGAGUACGGUAGGGGCAGAGGGAAUUCCCAGUGUAGCGGUGAAAUGCGUAGAGAUUGGGAAGAACACCGGUGGCGAAAGCGCUCUGCUAGGCCGAAACUGACACUCAUGGACGAAAGCUAGGGGAGCGAAUGGGAUUAGAUACCCCAGUAGUCCUAGCCGUAAACGAUGGAUACUAGGCGUUGUGAGUAUCGACCCUCACAGUGUCGUAGCUAACGCGUUAAGUA
rnacentral:rRNA from 1 species